UACGGAGGGUGCGAGCGUUGUCCGGAAUCAUUGGGCGUAAAGGGCGCGUAGGUGGCCCGGUCAGUCUUUGGUGAAAGCGCGGGGCUCAACCCUGCGUCGGCCAGGGAUACUGCCGCGGCUCGAGCACUGUAGAGGCAGGUCGGAAUCCGGUGUGAGCGGUGGAAUGCGUAGAGAUCCGGAAGAACACCGGUGGCGAAGGCGGCCUGCU
rnacentral:rRNA from 1 species